AAAGGACGAGGCCACAAUAGCACUCAUAGUAUUAUCAUUAUAAACAGAAAGACAGAAAAAAAAUAAAUAAAUAGUACAAUAACAAAAGUAAAGGCAUUCUUUAACAUUAAUUUGUUGUUAUGUUUGUUUAAUUUUUAAAAUAUUUA